AUCGUUUUUGACAUAUUUAAGUUUAUAUUUCAAAAAUGACGUUUGCAGACCCUACAAAAAAGAUCAAUUUUCAUCUAUGACGAAACCUUUGUAUGUUGGUCGGAUUCCUUGUAGAGGGGAACCAAUUUUAAUAGACUAUAUCAAAUAUUGAUAAUUAAUAAUAGAGAGGGUUGAAAACAGGAACAACCGUCUAAAGUGACUUUUUUCAAAUACAAAUUUUACAACUUUUAUAAUUUAAUCUGGUUAAGGAAUACUAUUUGGUGUUGUAUCAGUUGACCAUGAUGGCGCGGCAUUAGGCGGCAAAUAGUCAAGUGUAAUUAAGUCAAGUACAAUUAUUACACAAAAAUUACUCACAAAAGAUUAUUUAUAUUUAUUUAUUACAUACGCAGAUUAUGGUAAAGGUAUCAAAAUUGAAGAUUGCAAUUCUUCUAGGUACUUGUGUAACAUACUACUAUAACGCUCGAUUGGUGUAGUUCCUGGAGGCUCACCCUGUAUAAACUAAUAUUUUAUUUUUAAUUGUC